rnacentral:lncRNA from 1 species
GGGUGAUACAAUGCUUUAUUUAUUGGAUUCAUUAAUGCAGUCUCAGGAAAAAUAGCGUUGAAGUUAGGUAAGCGGGAGUAGAUCGUUAAGGAUGAGUUCAGUGGAGCCAUGUGGGAGACAGAAUUCCUGCACGGAGCCCAAGCCCGCCUGUGCUGAAAUGGCUGUGUGUGAAACACUGUCCUGAGACCACAGGGGGUGAUAUUUAAUGAAAGCUUUUAUGAAGACAUUAGUGACAUAUUGGGGGAAGGGGGGAAAGCCAACAACUCUUAAACAUAAAGAAUGGUAAGAAGAAAGCAAGUAAGCCUAGAGCUGGCUGAGUGUCUUACAUGUUAAAUGUACCCCCUAGCUGAGAUCAGCGUUGUCCCCAAAACAUUUCCUGUAAGCCUGUUUCAUACAAGUGCUGCAGCCUGCUUUUACUAUGUCUUCAGCUGAACAGGAAACUGAAAUUACACCACAGCAGCUGGAGCAUGGCCUGCUUGCUUGUCCAGCUUCCCAGGACUCUCACCCUGCCAGCUGUCUGCCAGUUAGGCAGACCAAGAAUCUGAUUGACUGCUCAAAGGAAUGAGGAUCCUUUCACUUGGGAAGCGACAAAGGAUGAGAGGCUGCCGUAGCGUCUCAGCUCUCAUCAAGGGAAGACACAGCAUCAGGAGUCACAGCAUUCCUGAGGAAGUGAUGAAAAUGAUGUAAUUGAAAUGAUAUAAUUGAAAAAUAAAGUUGUUUUGCCUGUAAGCA